GUAGUCGGCGCGACGGGGACGUGGUCGACGCCGUUCAUCCCGGCGUACCCGGGGUCGUUUCCCGGCCGGCAGUG
rnacentral:tRNA from 1 species